rnacentral:rRNA from 1 species
ACGGGUACGGGGAUUAGGGUUCGAUUCCGGAGAGGGAGCCUGAGAAACGGCUACCACAUCCAAGGAAGGCAGCAGGCGCGCAAAUUACCCAAUCCCGACACGGGGAGGUAGUGACAAUAAAUAACAAUACGGGGCUCUUUCGGGUCUCGUAAUUGGAAUGAGUACAAUUUAAAUCCCUUAACGAGGAACAAUUGGAGGGCAAGUCUGGUGCCAGCAGCCGCGGUAAUUCCAGCUCCAAUAGCGUAUAUUAAAGUUGUUGCAGUUAAAAAGCUCGUAGUUGAAUUUCGGGAUUGACACAUCGGUCGUGCCUUAAGGGGUAUGAACUGGUGUAGUCAAUUUCUCACCUUCUGGAGAACCGCGAUGCCCUUAAUUGGGUGUCACGGGGAACCAGGACCUUUACUUUGAAAAAAUUAGAGUGUUUAAAGCAGGCAUUUUGCUUGAAUACAUUAGCAUGGAAUAAUAAAAUAGGACGGCAUGAUUCUAUUUUGUUGGUUUCUAGGAUCACCGUAAUGAUUAAUAGGGAUAGUUGGGGGCAUUAGUAUUCAAUUGUCAGAGGUGAAAUUCUUGGAUUUAUUGAAGACUAACUACUGCGAAAGCAUUUGCCAAGGAUGUUUUCAUUAAUCAAGAACGAAAGUUAGGGGAUCGAAGACGAUCAGAUACCGUCGUAGUCUUAACCAUAAACUAUGCCGACUAGGAAUCAGACGAUGUUAAUUUUUUAAUGACUCGUUUGGCACCUUACGGGAAACCAAAUUUUUNNGGGUUNAAA